AGAGCAAGAAGUAAGAGCAUUCUCAGUGAGGACAGCCAACACUGUCCACCCCGGGUAAGCACAGCCACUGACCAAGGGGAACCAGAAGGUUCUACCACCUGUCCCCACCAUGGCAUCUGGGACACCAGCCACUGUCCACUGUCUGACUCACAGAGCAGAUCUUCUCUCCCCAGCCCUCAGUUGCUGGAGGUCCUCACCUCUUCCCGGCCACAGGAGACCAGGUCACAGGCCCCACAACAACUCUCCUUGAGUGUGAGG
rnacentral:lncRNA from 1 species